UAGAGUUUGAUCAUGGCUCAGGAUGAACGCUAGCGACAGGCUUAACACAUGCAAGUCGAGGGGCAGCGGGGAGGUAGCAAUACUUCCGCCGGCGACCGGCGCACGGGUGAGUAACACGUAUGGAACCUGCCCGUAGCAGGGGGAUAAACGGAAGAAAUUCCGUCUAAUACCGCGUAAUAACUCCGAGAGGCAUCUCAUGGAGUUUAAAGGGUAACACCGGCUACGGAUGGCCAUGCGGCGCAUUAGCUAGUUGGCGGGGUAACGGCCCACCAAGGCGACGAUGCGUAGGGGUUCUGAGAGGAAGGUCCCCCACACUGGUACUGAGACACGGACCAGACUCCUACGGGAGGCAGCAGUGAGGAAUAUUGGUCAAUGGGCGCGAGCCUGAACCAACCAAGUCGCGUGAGGGAAGACGGUCCUAUGGAUUGUAAACCUCUUUUGUCGGGGAGCAAAAGACGCCACGUGUGGCGUUCCGAGAGUACCCGAAGAAAAAGCAUCGGCUAACUCCGUGCCAGCAGCCGCGGUAAUACGGAGGAUGCGAGCGUUAUCCGGAUUUAUUGGGUUUAAAGGGUGCGCAGGCGGAAGAUCAAGUCAGCGGUAAAAUUGAGAGGCUCAACCUCUUCGAGCCGUUGAAACUGGUUUUCUUGAGUGAGCGAGAAGUAUGCGGAAUGCGUGGUGUAGCGGUGAAAUGCAUAGAUAUCACGCAGAACUCCGAUUGCGAAGGCAGCAUACCGGCGCUCAACUGACGCUCAUGCACGAAAGUGUGGGUAUCGAACAGGAUUAGAUACCCUGGUAGUCCACACAGUAAACGAUGAAUACUAAUUGUUCGGGGAGAAUGAUCCCUGAGUGAUACAGCGAAAGCGUUAAGUAUUCCACCUGGGGAGUACGCCGGCAACGGUGAAACUCAAAGGAAUUGACGGGGGCCCGCACAAGCGGAGGAACAUGUGGUUUAAUUCGAUGAUACGCGAGGAACCUUACCCGGGCUCAAACGACACAGGAAUACUUUUGAAAGGAGGUAGCUCUACGGAGUCUGUGUCGAGGUGCUGCAUGGUUGUCGUCAGCUCGUGCCGUGAGGUGUCGGCUUAAGUGCCAUAACGAGCGCAACCCCCAUCGCCAGUUACCAGCAAGUCAAGUUGGGGACUCUGGCGAGACUGCCGGCGCAAGCUGUGAGGAAGGCGGGGACGACGUCAAAUCAGCACGGCCCUUACGUCCGGGGCGACACACGUGUUACAAUGGCAGGUACAGAGAGAAGCAAUGCGGCGACGCAAAGCGGAACUUGAAAGCCUGUCUCAGUUCGGAUUGGAGUCUGCAACUCGACUCCAUGAAGCUGGAUUCGCUAGUAAUCGCGCAUCAGCCACGGCGCGGUGAAUACGUUCCCGGGCCUUGUACACACCGCCCGUCAAGCCAUGGAAGCCGGGGGUGCCUGAAGUGCGCUGCCGCGAGGAGCGCCCUAGGGUAAAACCGGUGACUGGGGCUAAGUCGUAACAAGGUAACCGUAA
rnacentral:rRNA from 1 species